rnacentral:lncRNA from 1 species
CUCACUGAAUAAUGAACAAAAUAUGAAAUUUGAAAAAGACGUUCUGACGUCAUUUAUAAAAAAUAUUCAAUCGAGAGUGUGAUGUCAUACAUAAGGAAGUGUGUUCGAUUUCUAUAGGAUGUGGCAUCUACAUAUGAAAA